AGAGUGAACGCUGGCGGUAGGCCUAACACAUGCAAGUCGAACGGCAGCACAGUAGGAGCUUGCUCUUACGGGUGGCGAGUGGCGGACGGGUGAGGAAUACAUCGGAAUCUACCUUUUGGUGGGGGAUAACGUAGGGAAACUUACGCUAAUACCGCAUACGCCCUUCGGGGGAAAGCCGGGGACCAGCAAUGGCCUGGCGCUGAUAGAUGAGCCGAUGUCGGAUUAGCUAGUUGGUGAGGUAAUGGCUCACCAAGGCGACGAUCCGUAGCUGGUCUGAGAGGAUGAUCAGCCACACUGGAACUGAGA
rnacentral:rRNA from 1 species